UUGCCUACGGGACGCAGCAGUAGGGAAUCCUCCACAAUGGGCGAAAGCCUGAUGGAGCAACGCCGCGUGGGUGAAGAAGGUCUUCGGAUCGUAAAACCCUGUUGUUAGAGAAGAAAGUGCGUGAGAGUAACUGUUCACGUUUCGACGGUAUCUAACCAGAAAGCCACGACUAACUACGUGCCAGCAGCCGCGGUAAUACGUAGGUGGCAAGCGUUAUCCGGAUUUAUUGGGCGUAAAGGGAACGCAGGCGGUCUUUUAAGUCUGAUGUGAAAGCCUUCGGCUUAACCGGGGUAGUGCAUUGUGAA
rnacentral:rRNA from 1 species